CUUAAAACAUUUUUAUUCUUGAGAAUUUCAUACACACAUACAAUGAAAUAUGAGCAUAUAUACACCCAUCAAAUUCAUAUUCCCCCACAUGUCCCCCCCUCUCAAUUUUGUCUUUGUUUUAACCACAUGCAUUUAAAAUUUUCCUUGAGUAGACUACCAUAUCUCUCUUACUGGUUAGUUCAGACUCUUUCUGACUUUGUCCAUUUUUUCCAUUUGUAUAAGCAUCAUAACCUCAACUUCCCUCAAAAAUAUAUUUUACUGUUCAUUUCAUGGCAUAUUUUGCCAAAGUAAGUGAAUAGAGGGUAGAAGCUGAACUCAUGGUGUCAAACUCCACCUUUCUACCAUAGUAGCAGUUAUAUAUAUACUUUCGGGCCUGUCAUACCCAUGUUUACAAUUAUUCAUUGUAUAAUUUACUUCAUCAGGCUUAGAGACAAAGCUUGGCGAGGAGCCACUGGGACUACCUGCUCUUUCAACCAUUUGCUUUCUUCUCCACCACACCUGGCCCUCAGGUUUGGCCAAGGAAUUCCCAAGACACCUGCGGAGCAACUGAGUCCCAAAGGAGUUGGGGAUGUGAGUCUGCUGUAAUGUAGGCAUCUCGCUGAGUUGGAUUGGUUUGAGCUCAGCAGCAUGUUCUCCAGGACCACCCCAACUGCUGGUAAGGAGAAGAGGGGAAGGCAGCUUCACAGCCCGACAGUACAUAGUCUCCUCAGUCACUGGGUCUAUGCCGUGGAGACGCUGGGCUGGUGCUUAAAAUGUAGCAGGCCAGAUGAAAGAAUGUAAUUCCUAAUGGUUAACUUUCAACUUAGACAUGAGAUAAUGUUUCAUUUGGUUAUUUGGAAACAUGUUUGGAUUACUUUGAUAGCUCUAUCAUCUUGUAUGCAUGUAUUUGAGACGGUCACACUAUGUGUCCUUGACUGGCCUGGAACUCACUAUAUAGACCAGGGUUUUCGAGGCUCACUAACAGCCUCUUGUCUCUGUCUCCUUACUACUGGGAUUACAGGUGUAAGGCACUAUUCCUGGCUUGAUCUGCUCUUUAAUCACACAUUUAUUAAAAUCAGCAUCGAAAACAAAUAGUUCUGAUCAUUUUUCUCUCGGAUUAAAAUAAACUGCAAAUAUAUGGACCAGAUUUCAAAGUCUUAUUGCCAAAAUAAGAUAAGAUAUUCACAUUUUUUAUACAGAUAAUCUUUCUUUCUUUCUUUCUUUCUUUCUUUCUUUCUUUCUUUCUCUUUCUCUCUCUCUCUCUCUCUCUCUCUUUCUUUCUUUCUUUCUUUCUUUCUGUUCUUCCUUCCUUCCUUUCUUUUUCUUCCUCUCUCUCUCUUUCUCUCCCUCCCUCUCUCCCUCCUUUCCUUCCUUCUUUCCUUCCUUUCUUCUAAAUAAUUUUAAUGUGCUAGAAAAUUUAAGGUCACAUCCCUGGUUCAUGACAGUGGUUGAGAGAAGAGGCCCUGAGCCAUCCUUUUAGGGAUCACUUCCUAACUCACCCUGUGAAGCAUCUUUGUAGUUUUGAAGCUUGCUUUUACGAUUUGGCUCUCUGACUCCAGCUUCUUUCUCCUUGUUACUACUCUGCCUACUUUUUGGAAAGGGUCUGCGGGGCGCGGAUCAUUAAGGCAAUUGCUGAUUUCAGCCGCCAGAGAGAGCUACGACGCUACUCUUGUUGCCCAGCAACCUCUGGUCCGGAAGUAGUUCUUUGUCCCACCCCAUGGCGGCCGCGGGCGCGAGUACUUCCGGUAGUGCGGGCGCGGGGUCGCGCCGAGCGGGUUGGAGGCUGGCGGCGGCGCAAUGACCACGCUCCGGGCCUUCACCUGCGACGACCUGUUCCGCUUCAACAACAUUAACUUGGAUCCACUUACAGAAACUUAUGGGAUUCCUUUUUACUUACAGUACCUUGCGCACUGGCCAGAGUAUUUCAUCGUCGCUGAAGCACCUGGCGGAGAACUAAUGGGUUAUAUUAUGGGCAAAGCAGAAGGCUCGGUAGCUAGGGAAGAAUGGCAUGGACAUGUCACAGCUCUCUCUGUCGCCCCUGAAUUCCGCCGUCUUGGCUUGGCUGCUAAACUUAUGGAGUUACUAGAAGAAAUUUCAGAAAGGUGGAUUUUUUGUUGAUCUCUUCGUAAGAGUAUCCAAUCAAGUUGCCGUCAACAUGUACAAGCAGUUGGGUUACAGUGUCUACAGGACAGUCAUAGAGUACUACUCAGCCAGCAAUGGGGAGCCUGAUGAGGAUGCCUAUGAUAUGAGGAAAGCACUUUCCAGGGACACUGAGAAGAAAUCCAUCAUCCCAUUACCUCAUCCCGUGAGGCCUGAGGACAUUGAAUAACCAUAGGCAGUGGUUCUUAGGCAGGUGUUCCAGACAGUUUGUGGACAUACUACUUUCAUAGGAUGAUCUUGGAGCUCUAUUAGGAGGAAAGUAAGCAUUUAAGUCUUAAAGACUUCAAAAAAUGCAGGCUAUAAACUUCAAAUCUCAUCCUUCCAAUGAGCAAUAGCAUACAUGUUCGAACUGUUUGCCAUAGUAAAAUUCAAUCAAGGCAGCUAAGUCAGAAGGACUCGUUCCACUAUCAUGGUUGACAGUACAUGCCAAGAAAAGACUCCCUCCAUCCUCCUCCUAAAUCCUGUGCCUGAGAACCACUGCUGCACAUAUAUAAAUAUAUAUAUAUUUUAUUUUGUAUUGAUCUGUUAAUUGAAGCUUUAAAAGCAUAUAUGAAAUGUAUAAAUCUGAGAUGUAUAGUAAAACAUUGUUGACUAUGAAUGUUUUCUGGAAGUUUGUUGUCUUUUAAUCAAAAUUAUGGACGGAUCUUUGUUUAGGAUGUGGUGCCUCUUGUUUUGACUUUUUUAUAUAAAACCUUUUUAAAUGCA